rnacentral:rRNA from 1 species
GACGUAGGGUCCAAGCGUUGUCCGGAUUUACUGGGCGUAAAGAGCGCGCAGGCGGUCGUUCAAGUCGAGUGUGAAAGCCCCCGGCUCAACUGGGGAGGGUCACUCGAUACUGAUCGACUUGAAGGCAGGAGAGGGAAGCGGAAUUCCCGGUGUAGUGGUGAAAUGCGUAGAUAUCGGGAGGAACACCAGUGGCGAAGGCGGCUUCCUGGCCUGUUCUUGACGCUGAGGCGCGAAAGCUAGGGGAGCAAACGGG